rnacentral:rRNA from 1 species
GACGAACGCUGGCGGCGUGCCUAAUACAUGCAAGUCGAACGAAGCUUUUUUAACUGGUGCUUGCACCGACUUAAACAACUGAGUGGCGAACGGGUGAGUAACACGUGGGUAACCUGCCCCAAAGCGGGGGAUAACAUUUGGAAACAGAUGCUAAUACCGCAUAACCACAGAAACCACAUGGUUUCUGUGUCAAAGAUGGUUUCGGCUGUCACUUUGGGAUGGACCCGCGGCGUAUUAGCUAGUUGGUAAGGUAAUGGCUUACCAAGGCAAUAAUACGUAGCCGAACUGAGAGGUUGAUCGGCCACAUUGGGACUGAGACACGGCCCAAACUCCUACGGGAGGCAGCAGUAGGGAAUCUUCCACAAUGGACGAAAGUCUGAUGGAGCAACGCCGCGUGAGUGAAGAAGGUUUUCGGAUCGUAAAACUCUGUUGUCAGAGAAGAACGUGUGCGAGAGUAACUGUUCGUGCAGUGACGGUAUCUGGCCAGAGAGCCACGGCUAACUACGUGCCAGCAGCCGCCGUAA